rnacentral:rRNA from 1 species
ACGCGAAACCUUCCUUCGGGAGGGGAGUAGAGUGGCGCACGGGUGAGUAACACGUAGGUAAUUUGCCUUUGGGUGGGGAAUAACUCAGGGAAACUUGAGCUAAUACCGCAUAAUGCAGCGGCUCGACAUCGAGACAGUUGUUAAAGCGGGGGAUCGCAAGACCUCGCGCCUAAAGAGAAGCCUGCGGCAGAUUAGCUAGUUGGUAGGGUAAUGGCCUACCAAGGCGACGAUCUGUAACCGGCCUGAGAGGACGGUCGGUCACACUGACACUGACAUACGGGUCAGACUCCUACGGGAGGCAGCAGUCGGGAAUUUUGGGCAAUGGGCGAAAGCCUGACCCAGCAACGCCGCGUGAAGGAUGAAAUUUUUCGGAAUGUAAACUUCGCAAGAACGGGAAGAAUAAGUAGAAGCUAAUACCUUCUAUGAUGACGGUACCGUUUGUAAGCUCCGGCUAACUCCGUGCCAGCAGCCGCGGUAAUACGGGGGGAGCAAGCGUUGUUCGGAUUUACUGGGCGUAAAGGGCGCGUAGGCGGUCGUGACAAGUCACUUGUGAAAUCUCCGGGCUUAACUCGGAACGGUCAAGUGAUACUGUCGGACUAGAGUACAGAAGGGGCAACUGGAAUUCUCGGUGUAGCGGUGAAAUGCGUAGAUAUCGAGAGGAACACCUGCGGCGAAGGCGGGUUGCUGGGCUGAUACUGACGCUGAGGCGCGAAAGCCAGGGGAGCGAACGGGAUUAGAUACCCCGGUAGUC